UGACAUCUAUCUACAAGCAAAAGAGAGACAUCUGUGGGGUUUGACAGAAGAGUUUUGAACAAUGAGGACAGGGCACCACUUCAUAAAUAUGGCUGUGAAAAAUGAAAAUGUAUUUGUGUGUUGAGAGAGAGAGAGAGAGAGAGAGAGAGAGAGAGAGAGAGAGAGAUUAGAAAAAAUAAUGGAGGUGAGAGAAUAAGGACUUAGCAGGAUGAGUUGGGCUGUUUAGUGGUUGAUGAAGUUUCAGAUAAAAAAUAGUGCACUAGAGAGUUGAGGCUGGCAGGGAUGGCAGUACAAUUACUUUCCUGG
rnacentral:lncRNA from 1 species